CAGCCCCCCUGCCAGUUCUGGAAACACCCGCCUGACUAAGCGAGCACCGCAGAGGAGCAGGACCCAAAGGUAGUCUGCGGGUGAGCCCUCCACUCAGGGCGCAAGGUCCCGGGACCCGCCGGCGGAAAGGAGGAGACGGACCGCAGAGGACUCGUGGAAGAGGCAGAGGGUCUACUGCAUACAAGGGCUAAAGCUAGCUGAUGGCAACACAAGUGCUAUAGAGAACAGACUGCCGGUCCUCCUAGAACUUCCAUCCUAGGCAAGAAACGAAGCAGUUACAGAUCUCAGACUGUCACAGUGAUGCCAAGAAAAGGUGAAGUUGGAAGGAAACUUUUAUGGAAGCUUUUUUGGUCAUGGAAAUUCUUCAGUGUGGUGCUUGAAGUAAUCCUUCAGGACUAAAGGUACCAGAGCUGGGCUGUCACCCCAAUCAGUACUUCCUGCUGGAGCCUGGGAGACAGGAGAAAAUUCCACCCUGGGAGAGCUGGCAGGGGUGCUACUGUUCCUGCUCAAUCCAUUCCACGUGGGCCAACCCAAUUUGUGCUUAGAGGAGGGCUUCAGAUUGAAUUUCUUAGUGAGUCUAACCCAGACCUUUUUUUUUUUUUGCAUUUAUGACUGUGAAAAAAGUGGAGAAGACUGA